AAACCGAAAAGGCUAGAUUUUAUUUAUAGUCGUGCUGUUAGGCACUAACUUUCGAGUAGACUGCUAAACUAUAAAUAUGUUGUGAUAAAUGAGUCGUUAGCUUUUAUAUCUGUUUAGUACUUAAUUUAUCUUUUUACCCCAAGAGCGAUGAUGUUCUUAGGGUUGAUACAUAGCGGUUAAUUUUUAUUAUAAAAGGGUUAAAGUUACCCCCUUAUAGUGAGUUUUUUACAAAACUUUUUUAUGUUGUGAGCUAUUAUAUGUAGUUAGUACUUAAAUUUAAUUAUUUGUUUUAUUAAUGAGUCGAUAAGUAAUAUUAAUAAUUUUAUUAAGUCUCAAGUAUAGCCCGUCUGUUUAUUAAAAACAUUUCCAUAUUUAAUUUUUUAUGGUAUAACCUGCUCGAUGUAUUUUAUAAAUGGCCGCAGUAUCUUGACUGUGCAAAGGUAGCAUAAUUAAUUGCCCUUUAAUUGGGGGCUUGUUUGAAUGGUUUGUCGUGGUUAGAUACUUAUAUUAAAAUUUUUAUUGAAAUUAAUGUUGAUGGUACAGAAUCCUCUUAUGUUAAUUAGACGGAAAGACCCCGGGAUCUUUCAUUUUUGCCUGGGGCAGGUUUAAUAGUUUUAAAUUUAUUAAGAUCCUUUAAGGUUUAAUGGUUUAAGUUACCCCGGGGAUAACAGUGUAAUAGUUUAUUAGAGAUCUUAUCGAAUAAACUGCUUGCUACCUCGAUGUUGACUUAGGUUUUAGGCUAGGGCGCAGUAGUUUUAGUUUAUGGUCUGUUCGACCUUAAUUACCUCCACGAGUUGAGUUAAGACCGGCGCAAGCCAGGUCGGUUCUUAUCUAUU
rnacentral:rRNA from 1 species